rnacentral:rRNA from 1 species
UCUACGGGAGGCAGCAGUGGGGAAUAUUGGACAAUGGGGGCAACCCUGAUCCAGCCAUGCCGCGUGAGUGAUGAAGGCCUUCGGGUUGUAAAGCUCUUUUGGCGGGGACGACGUACCCGCAGAAUAAGCCCCGGCUAACUUCGUGCCAGCAGCCGCGGUAAGACGAAGGGGGCUAGCGUUGUUCGGAAUUACUGGGCGUAAAGCGUGUGUAGGUGGUUGUCCAAGUUGGAGGUGAAAGCCUUGAGCUCAACUCAAGAAAUGCAUUCAGGACUGGGUGACUAGAGGACCGGAGAGGAUAGUGGAAUGCCCAGUGUAGUGGUUAAAUACGUAGAGAUUGGGAAGAACACCAGUGGCGAAGGCGGCUAACUGGACGGUUCUGACACUAAGACACGAAAGCGUGGGGAGCAAACAGGAUUAGAUACCCUUGUAGUC